rnacentral:misc_RNA from 1 species
AACGCACCUUGCGCUCCUUGGUGAUCUGAGGAGCAUGCCUGUUUGAGUGUCAUUAAAUUCUCAACCUAACCAACUUUUGGAUAGGCUUGGAUUGUGGGGGCUUUUGCUGGCUUCAACCCCUCAGAAGUCAGCUCCCCUUAAACGCAUUAGUGGAACGAUUUGUUGACCUUGUUUCCUGGUGUGAUAAAACCUUUAUCACCACCGUGUGCAGUCAGCUUACUCUGCUUCUAACCGAUUUUUUUCACUCUUGACCAUUUGACCUCAAAUCAGGUAGGACUACCCGCUGAACUUAA